GAGUUUGAUCGUGGCUCAGAUUGAACGCUGGCGGCAUGCCUUACACAUGCAAGUCGAACGGCAGCAUGAUCUAGCUUGCUAGAUUGAUGGCGAGUGGCGAACGGGUGAGUAAUACAUCGGAACGUGCCCUGUAGUGGGGAGUAACUAGUCGAAGAAUUAGUCUAAUAACCGCCAUACGACCUCGAGGGUGGAAAGUAGGGGGGACCGGGCCGAACGGACCGUCCA
rnacentral:rRNA from 1 species